rnacentral:rRNA from 1 species
UUGCGGGACGUUAAAAACUCGCAAUGUGCACUUUUCCCUUAGUAAGACGCUGUGAUCCAUUAGAAAUUGACCAUUCCAAUGGUUAGUGGGCUAUCAAUAGGCCGGCAUGAAGUUCAUCGGUGCAAAUAACUGGCUCCUUCUAUGGUCCGGUAUAUUGCCUUGUGAGCAUGUCGUCACCUGAAAUAGCUGUCUGAUGGAUUUUCAAGACCACAUCACUAAUGCACCGCAAGGCGCAUUAACCAUUCCGAUGGUAGUGGAUGCGUGUCCGAUCAACAGCGGUUAAAUUUGGGAUACCUUUUGGACCCGUCUUGAAACACGGACCAAGGAGUCUAUCUAGUAUGCAAGUAAAUGGGUAUAUUAAACCUAUUUGCGUAAAAAACUUGACUGUUAUGGGAUUACGAGUCUCUCUUUAAACGGGGGCUCCUCCAUCCCGGGGUAUUUUCAUCAACAUAUGCAGCAAUGCAUAUGGAAAAUAUACCAUGAGCAUACUGGAUAUGACCCGAAAGAUGGUGAACUAUGCCUGAUCAGGUUGAAGUCAGGGGAAACCCUGAUGGAGGACCGAAGCAAUUCUGACGUGCAAAUCGAUUGUCAGAAUUGGGCAUAGGGGCGAAAGACCAAUCGAACCAUCUAGUA